rnacentral:tRNA from 1 species
GGGCCGCUAGCUCAAUGGCAGAGCAUCCGGCUCUUAACCGGCAGGUUCCGAGUUCGACUCUCGGGCGGCCCACCA